UGUCUUUAGUCUUCCCUGUUCCCUUCGGGGGCCGGAAGGGGUUAAAUCUCAGGCUCCGGCAUCUGGGGAGAAGUUAUAAUUAUUCAGUAUGUUCCCACUGACCGAGGAAAGCAAGUGUGUGGCCCGGUUGUUGCUCAAUACUGGUACUUGUCCAAGAUGUAUCUUCAGAUUCUGUGGUGUGGAUUUUCAUGCACCUUAUAAACUUCCAUACAAGAUGAAGAAACUGAGAUACAGAGAGGUUAAGCAACCUGCCCAAAGUUACACAGCUAUUAAGUGAGCAAGCUAGGAUUUGAACAGUCUGUCUGAAUUCAAAACCUAGGAUUUGGAGCUACAAGACAUGGAUUUGAAUCCCAGUUCCACCACUUUCCAGCUUCAUUUUACUCCUCUGUAAAUGGGAAUGAUGAUAAUACCCACCUCACAGGACUUUAAGAGACAGUACCUAAUAAAGUAUGUGGAAACACUUUGAAAACCAGAAAUCGGCCGGGCGCAGUAGCUCAUGCCUGUAAUCCCAGCACUUUGGGAGGCUGAGGCGGGUGGAUCAGAGGUCAGGAGUUCAAGACCAGC